CACGUAGGGGGCAAGCGUUGUCCGGAUUUAUUGGGCGUAAAGAGCUCGUAGGCGGCUCGGUAAGUCGGGUGUGAAAACUCGGGGCUCAACCCCGAGACGCCACUCGAUACUGCCAUGGCUUGAGUCCGGUAGGGGAGCGUGGAAUUCCUGGUGUAGCGGUGAAAUGCGCAGAUAUCAGGAGGAACACCGGUGGCGAAGGCGGCGCUCUGGGCCGGUACUGACGCUGAGGAGCGAAAGCGUGGGGAGCAAACAGG
rnacentral:rRNA from 1 species